UCUAUCAGCAAAUAAUGAUAAACUGGAUCUGAUAGACUAUGGUGAGUUUGUUCAUUUCUUUUUAGCACUGGAUAUU